rnacentral:rRNA from 1 species
GUGUCAGCAGCCGCGGUAAUACGUAGGGUGCGAGCGUUAAUCGGAAUUACUGGGCGUAAAGUGUGCGCAGGCGGCAGAGCAAGUCGAGUGUGAAAGCCCCGGGCUUAACUUGGGAAUUGCGCUCGAAACUACUUUGCUGGAGUGUGGCAGAGGAAGGUGGAAUUCCACGUGUAGCGGUGAAAUGCGUAGAGAUGUGGAGGAACACCAAUGGCGAAGGCAGCCUUCUGGGCCAACACUGACGCUCAUGCACGAAAGCGUGGGGAGCAAACAGGAUUAGAUACCCGAGUAGUCC